GUCCUGGAAAUAAAGAAAGAAGUAAUCAAGCAGUGAACAGUGUUAAGAGAGGGAGGAAGAAGAAAGAGAAGGUGCAACUCUGAUUCAUCCUUCUAGCAUGCCAAGCAGCUUCAUUUCCUCCAGGGGAUGCAUUUAACUAUGUCUCCUGCCUGAAAGUCUGUUGGAUCUGAUACUGAUUAACCAUCACGUUUGGGAUUUAGGAAGGCCAAACAGAAGUAGGAAAAGUCAAACAGAAACUUCUGCAGAAAGAGAUGGACAGAGACAAGGAAAAAUCAGGAGACCCACCUUCCACAGGGAGCGAGCACUGUUCUGUGUUGGGUGUUUUUCUGGAAAGCCUGGAGGAGCAAGGACUUUCAUAAGCAGCUCAGCUUAUCUACAUCUGCAACCAACAUAGAGCAGCAGAACAGUUUGUCUAUACUGGCACAGAAUUCCAUAGCUCUUGCUGGCAUCUGUAAGCAGCAGCAACAUCUCAGGCCACAGAACACAGCAACGUUUAGGUAGACUACUUUCUAAGUAAAUUACAGCCAUGGCUUUCACAUGCAUGAAGUCUCCUUGGGAGUUAC